GGUUAAGUUAGAAAGGGCGCACGGUGGAUGCCUUGGCACUAGGAGCCGAAGAAGGACGGGACUAACACCGAUAUGCUUUGGGGAGCUGUACGUAAGCGUUGAUCCAGAGAUUUCCGAAUGGGGGAACCCACUAUCUUUAGUCGGAUAGUAUCCUUACGUGAAUACAUAGCGUGAGGAAGGCAGACCCAGGGAACUGAAACAUCUAAGUACCUGGAGGAAGAGAAAGAAAAAUCGAUUUCCUGAGUAGCGGCGAGCGAAACGGAAAGAGCCCAAACCAAGAAGCUUGCUUCUUGGGGUUGUAGGACACUCUAUACGGAGUUACAAAAGAAAGUUAUAAAUGAAGCGGUCUGGAAAGGCCCGCCAAAGACGGUAACAGCCCGGUAGUUGAAAUGGCUUUCCCUCCAGAGUGGAUCCUGAGUACGGCGGAACACGUGAAAUUCCGUCGGAAUCCGGGAGGACCAUCUCCCAAGGCUAAAUACUCCCUAGUGACCGAUAGUGAACCAGUACCGUGAGGGAAAGGUGAAAAGCACCCCGGAAGGGGAGUGAAACAGUUCCUGAAACCGUGUGCCUACAAGUAGUUAGAGCCCGUUAAUGGGUGAUAGCGUGCCUUUUGUAGAAUGAACCGGCGAGUUACGAUUUGUUGCAAGGUUAAGCGGAAAAAGCGGAGCCGUAGCGAAAGCGAGUCUGAAUAGGGCGCAUAAGUAACAGGUCGUAGACCCGAAACCAGGUGAUCUACCCAUGUCCAGGAUGAAGGUAAGGUAAUACUUACUGGAGGUCCGAACCCACGCACGUUGAAAAGUGCGGGGAUGAGGUGUGGGUAGCGGAGAAAUUCCAAUCGAACUUGGAGAUAGCUGGUUCUCUCCGAAAUAGCUUUAGGGCUAGCCUCGAGGUAAAGAGUCAUGGAGGUAGAGCACUGUUUGGACUAGGGGCCCUUCUCGGGUUACCGAAUUCAGAUAAACUCCGAAUGCCAUGUACUUAUACUCGGGAGUCAGACUGCGAGUGAUAAGAUCCGUAGUCGAAAGGGAAACAGCCCAGACCACCAGUUAAGGUCCCCAAAUAUAUGUUAAGUGGAAAAGGAUGUGGGGUUGCUUAGACAACCAGGAUGUUGGCUUAGAAGCAGCCACCAUUGAAAGAGUGCGUAAUAGCUCACUGGUCGAGUGACCCCGCGCCGAAAAUGUACCGGGGCUAAACAUAUUACCGAAACUGUGGAUGAACCUCUUUAGAGGUUCGUGGUAGGAGAGCGUUCUAAGGGCGGUGAAGUCAGACCGGAAGGACUGGUGGAGCGCUUAGAAGUGAGAAUGCCGGUAUGAGUAGCGAAAGAAGGGUGAGAAUCCCUUCCACCGAAUAUCUAAGGUUUCCUGAGGAAGGCUCGUCCGCUCAGGGUUAGUCGGGACCUAAGCCGAGGCCGAUAGGCGUAGGCGAUGGACAACAGGUAGAGAUUCCUGUACCAGUGCUAAUUGUUUAACCGAUGGGGUGACACAGAAGGAUAGGGAAUCGCACGAAUGGAAAUGUGCGUCCAAGCAGUGAGUGUGAGAAGUAGGCAAAUCCGCUUCUCGCGAAGCAUGAGCUGUGAUGGGGAAGGAAA
rnacentral:rRNA from 1 species